ACGAAAUAGAAGGUGAUACCAACCCUUCGCGUAGCUCUUUGAGGGGAAGAAAGAAGGUUCGAAAGAAUGAUUGGGAGGGUGACCCUCUAGGUUCACUAACCAUACCCCAAAACGACACGGGUCAACAAGUAGAGUUAUACUAGGGCGCUUGAGAGAACCAUGUUGAAGGAACGAGGCAAAAUGACCCCCCGUCACAUCGAGAGAAGGGGUGCUCUCCCUCCUAUCUUUGGAUUGGGAAAGAGGCACGCACAUACCAGGGGGUAGCGACCGUUGUUUAUGAAAAACACAGGACUCUGCCAAGUGGUAACACGAUGUAUAAAAUCUGACACCUGCCCGGUGCUGGAAGUUUGGAAGGAGAAGUGUGAUAAGCUUCAAAGAGAACGGGAAGUAACGAGAACUAUCCUAAGGUAGCUAAAUCGUCGCAUAAGUAGAGACCUGCACGAAUGGUGUAACGAUUUCCCUGCUAUCUCCGACAUGGACUUAGUGAAA
rnacentral:ncRNA from 1 species